rnacentral:rRNA from 1 species
UACAGGGGGCUCGAGCGUUAGUCGGAAUCACUGGGCUUAAAGGGUGCGUAGGCGGUCCGCCAAGUGCUUUGUGAAAUCCCACAGCUCAACUGUGGAACAGCAGGGCAAACUGGCGGACUUGAGGCAGGUAGGGGCUGGAAGAACAGUUGGUGGAGCGGUGAAAUGCGUAGAUAUCAACUGGAAUGCCGAUGGGGAAGCCGUCCAGCUGGGCCUGUCUUGACGCUGAGGCACGAAAGCGUGGGGAGCAAACAGG